GAUGAACGCUGGCGGCGUGCUUAACACAUGCAAGUCGAGCGAGAAGUUUUGAAAAGAUUCUUCGGAUGAAAUUUAAAAUGAAAAGCGGCGGACGGGUGAGUAACGCGUAGGCAACCUGCCCCAUACAAAGGGAUAGCAUUUGGAAACGAAUAUUAAUACCUUAUGAAACUUAACUAGUGCAUGCUAGGUAGGUCAAAGAUUUAUCGGUAUGGGAUGGGCCUGCGUCUGAUUAGCUAGUUGGUGAGGUAACGGCUCACCAAGGCGACGAUCAGUAGCCGACCUGAGAGGGUGAACGGCCACAUUGGAACUGAGACACGGUCCAAACUCCUACGGGAGGCAGCAGUGGGGAAUAUUGCACAAUGGGGGAAACCCUGAUGCAGCAACGCCGCGUGAACGAUGAAGGCCUUUGGGUCGUAAAGUUCUGUUCUAGGUGAUGAAAACUGACAGUAACCUAGGAGAAAGCCCCGGCUAACUCCGUG
rnacentral:rRNA from 1 species